GUCCUUUUGAAUAUAAUUUAAGGUCUAACCUGCCCACUGAAUACUUAAAUGGCCGCGGUAAUUUGACCGUGCUAAGGUAGCAUAAUCAUUAGUUUUUUGAUUGAAAGCUGGAAUGAAGGGUUGGAUGAGAAAAUAUCUGUUUCUAUUUAAUUUUAAUUGAAUUUUAUUUUUAAGUUAAAAAGCUUAAAUUUUAUUAAAAGACGAGAAGACCCUUUAGAGUUUUAUAUAAAAUUUAAUUUAAUAUAUUAGGAAUAUAAGUAUGAAUUAAUUUUUAUAAUUAAUUGGGGUGAUUGAAAAAUUUAAUGAACUUUUUUUAUAUUUUAAACAUUGAUUUAUGAUUUUUUGAUCCAUAUAUUUUGAUUAUAAGAUUAAAUUACCUAAGGGAUAACAGCGUAAUUUUUUUUGAGAGUUCUAAUCGAUAAAGAAGAUUGCGACCUCGAUGUUGGAUUAAAAUUUAUUUUUGGUGUAGGAGCUAAAAAGAUUAGGUCUGUUCGACCUUUAAAAUUUUACAUGA
rnacentral:rRNA from 1 species